AAUAGGGCCCUUUCUUGGCUGAUUAAACCAGCCCAGCCCUGACCCUGCAGCUGGGAGAGGAGCCCCAGCCCCAGGAUCCCCAGGUAACACCAUUCAGUGCUCACGACACAACACAGACAAACCACUAUGGAGUCUGUGCUCAGCUGGGUUUUCCUUGUCGCUAUUUUAAAAGGUGUCCAGGGUGAAGUGCAGCUGGUGGAGUCUGGGGGAGACCUCGUGAAGCCUGGGGGGUCCCUGAGACUCUCCUGUGUGGCCUCUGGCUUCACCUUCAGUAGCUAUUGGAUGAGCUGGGUCCGCCAGGCUCCAGGGAAAGGGUUGCAGUGGGUUGCAUACAUUAACAGUGGUGGAAGUAGCACAUACUAUGCAGACGCUGUGAAGGGCCGAUUCACCAUCUCCAGAGACAACGCCAAGAACACGCUGUAUCUGCAGAUGAAAAGUCUGAGAGCCGAGGACACGGCCGUAUAUUACUGUGUGAGGGACACAGACAUCGUGGCUUCUCGCAUAGUUUGCCUAUGGGUAUUUGUGGACAUUGCUGCUGUAAACAUUGGGGUGCACGUAUCCUGCCGCUUCACUACAUCUGUAUCUUUUGGAUAA